AAGAUAUAAUAAUGUUAGUUUUAUUGGGCAAUAAACAAUUUAAAAGUACAAGAAGAAAAGAAAAAAUGAAGGAGAAGAAGGACUCAUAUCUCGAUAAAUAUUUGAUCUUUCGAUAUAUUUAAUCUCGCGAGAUAUCUAAAAUUUUUCGAGUAGCAUCUUGGAAGGCAAAGAUUUAAAAAGUCAAACGAUCAGGACAGACUACCAUUUUUCAUAUUUCAUGUUUCGCUUCUUCUGACGAGGAGACAUGUUGGGAGUCAUCCAAGAAAUGGCGAGUAUGAUGCGCCAGAAUAUGACUUUUUUUUUUUAAGUGUUGUUAGUUGGACUGGAUAUGAACACAGAGCGAAGGAAAUCAAAAAAGAAAAUUCAGUGUAUUACAAAGCACAUGUAAUAAUUUUUUUUUUUAAUAAUAUAAGAAAAAUCGGAAGUCAAAUAUUAUCAUUGUGAAUAACUAAUACAAACUAUGAAUAAUUGGAUGACAUCAUCUCAUGGAAAGAAAAAACAUUCGAUCGAUCUGACAGAAGGAAAUCAACGAUGUUUUCCUUCCUCUGUGUAAGACCAUUCUUCAUCUUUCUAGGUGAUCUCUUUUUAUUUUAUUUUUUAUCUUAUUCCGUGUUUUUUUUUAUUUUUUUAUUUUCUCUUAUCGUAUUUUUCUCGAAGAAAAUGAUAAAAGAGCAGGGACGAUCGAUCGAUUUGAAAAUUUACAUGGCAUAAUUAACGAGUAAAGACGUACGUAAGAUUCUUUUUUUUUUUUUAUUAUUAAUAAAAUGGUUUUAAUUAAAUUGAUACUUUUAUGAUAUCCUUAGAAUUUUUUCUUUUUUAUAAGACCCGCAUUUCUCCAUCUCAGUGAAUUUAUUUAUCUUGCCUAAAGGCUUUCUUUUAGAUUAAAGCAACAAGAGAAGGUUUCGAAUCGAUGGUUAUGAUCGUCUCAGAGAUACUCAAUAAAUUUAAUAAUUUUCCUUUCGUUGUCGUAGAUAUUGCUCGGAACGUUUCAAUUUGCUUUACUGCUCGUGCUAACCGGUUUCUUGCUAUCUCUUGCGAUUAUUUCGCGUUUAAUGGAGGUUGCCGUUACUUUGAUAUAUCCUACCAGUAUCUUCUUACUACAGCAGUUAGUAAAAUUAUUCGUUUUAAUUUUUCAUACUUGGACGUGUACAGUUAAUAACGAGCCUAUCGGCAAGGACGACUGGAUAUGUUUGGUGCAGAACCAUCAUUAGAAUUUGUAAUGCUCUUGAGGAGGAAACAGAAGUUCUUAAUAUGAAUUUGACAACAUCCGAAAUACCGAAUGAAAGAACUUAUUCCGAAUGCAGCACGAAGUCAUUAGAAUUGAGUCUCGAGAAAGAUGAGGAAGUUGCAUUAGAUUCAAAGAGUAACGAAUCAGACGAAGUAUAUCGAACUACGAUGGAACUAGAGGAUGAAAGUAUUUCUAAUUCCAAAGAAGAUGAUAUAAAAGAAGAUGAUGCCUAAGAGAUUCCUUUAGAAUUAAGAAAAGAUGCAUACUUAUAUACAUAUAUGAGACAGCGAGAAUGAGAGAUAGAGAGAGAAAGAAAAAGAUAAUAAAAUCUUUUUGAAUAUAAAAAAUCUUUGGAGCAAAAAUAUCCUAAUAAUCUAACCAUUUAAAUUCAUUUUGUUAUCCGAAACUACAUUGCUUUAUAGUUAUUAUAAUCUAUAUCUGUACGAGAUAUCUGAUCAUUGUAAAUUUUAAGUAAAAAGGAUAUUUUAAAAAUGGAUAAGUAAACGAUUCUUUUAAUUAACGACACCGUCUGUGAUUUUUAUGACUUGAAAAGAAUUCUA